CCCCCGCCCCGCGCCAACGGAGGGGAGGGGGUCCGGCCGGGUUGCGGACCGUUGCAACUUGGCCCGGGGGCGAAGGGGUUAACCAGAGGCGCGAUUGCCUGUGGUCCCCGAAGACCUGAAAUUGCACCCCCGUUUUUUCCUCUCCUCUCGCAAGCCCUCCCCAAGUUCGCUUGCAACAAAAAUGAGCUGGAAAGUAAAGAAAAGUUUGAGCUGGCUUUGAAGCGCUUCACCCUUCAGUCGCUGCGUGAUCUUUGGAGUGAAAUUAAGAGGGAAACUGCAUCACCACCAUUACCAGAUGAGAGGAGGAAAAAGAAAGUUUAAUUUGGCUCUUUCCGGGCAUGAUAUUUAAUCGCACUGGUUCUGUCCCCACUAGAGUAUCAGGCAGCACUUGCGCUGUGACCUUUUCCACUGGAUGCAGUUCUUUGCCUUUGCUGAAUCCACAGGGUGAGUCUGUGAUGCCACUGAAGAUAAAUAGGUCCAAGGAGACAUUCUAGCACAAAAGGUGAGCUGGGACAGGUGAGUAAAACGAACUGGGGACACGUCCUUGCCUGCUUUGAAUUGAGCCAGUAGCUCUUCUGAGCCAGUAGCUUAAAGCUUGCUCAAAUGUCCCGCAUUUCCCUGCUUUCCUCGCUGCUGGGAGAAACCCACCUUGCCUAAGAGGAAAAGAAAAGAGUGUAGCCCGGUGGGAUAGUGUCCUUUCUUCCCCUCUCAUUGCUCAAGAAAAAGCAAAGUAGAAAUCUGGCUGCAAAAUCCCGGGAUUCUUUUCUGCCUUAGUAGUGGAUGCAGCAGCAGGCAGCUUGUAUCCCUUCAGAGAUUGUAACCCCCAGUAUCCCCAGUCAGCAGGACCAACACAAGGAGGCAUGGACCUUGCAGUCCAUCAUCAUCUGGAUGGCUCCCCGUUGCCCACCCCUGAGCCAAGCUGUGCACCAAAGUGCUAUUCAAUGUCCCCAAGAGGUGAUCUCACCAAGCCCUGCUCCUUAAGCACUGACAACUGUGUGUGUUGCGGCCAGGCAUUAAAACGCUGGUGGACUGGAUUGACAUUGCCCUGCUGAGUGUCUGCAGGAGGAGAAAAAUGACACACACAGGGCUUGCUUAUUCCCAGAAGUGUAUCUUUAAAAAUGGUUUUUCCUACCUACAGACAAAGUAGCACAACCCUGAGACAUUAUGAAGACUUUUCAAAACAAGAAAGAAAGAAACAUUCAGUAAGAAACAGUUUGGCAUGCUACAACUUAACACAAUAUUGCUAAGGGUUUUUUUUCCCCAAAAACUGCACCACUUCAAGUGAGUAUUCUAACCACUGUUUCACAGGCCACAAAUUAAUGUGCUAGUUGUGAUAUUAUUGACACCUGUUUUGGCUGUCUGUCUCUCUGUCCAGACGGAUGGAUGGAAAGAAAGAAAGACCGCCCAAAUAGGUGCCGAUUGUUAUAUGCAUGCAUGGAGGCUCCUCAAGUGGAGAUAGUUGUGUUUACUGAAUGGCUGCAUAACAGGGCAGCCUCCACCCACUGGGUAUGUAGGACUGCAGCUCCCAUCAUUCCUUGCCAGCAUGGCCAUGGGGAGUUGUGGUUCAACACAUCUGGAGCGUACUAACCUGGGGGGAACUGCUAAUGUUUUAAUUAUAAAGUGUAAUGUUUUUAGCUGAAGAUUAGGCCAGUAAAAAAUAAAUCUGGCUAUAUAGUUUGUGAUUUUUGUAUGCAGCAACUGAUGUGUUGCAAUAAUUUAAUUUCACAGUAAAUUUAGAACUAGGGAGGAGAAAGUCCAACUUUAUGUGAAUGAAAACUGGGAGCUUUUUCCUGGUACUCCAGUACUGCUGCAAAAUUUUUAAAAAUACUAUAGGUUUAUAAAGGUUACCUUGCACAGCCAAAUAUUACAGGAUCAUUCUGGAAAAAUCUCCAGAAUAGCAGUUGUAUUUGGCGGUCACCUCACACACAGAGUGUAACUUUGCAAUUCACAACUGCAGGUGGGCGCACAAAAGGUAAACUUUUUUUUUCUUUGUAGAUUGUACAAUACCAGCCAUUUGAACCACCUAAUUAUCUAAAUAUACUGACGUCUUUUGUAUGUCUGUCUUUGUUGGCUGGCAUUUCUCCUGGAGUAAAUUAAGCUUUGCCUGUGAACUCAUGGUAAAAUUUGCAUUCCUGGAUGCUGCUUAUACAGCUGCAGUGAACACACUUUUGGAAGGGCUGCAGUAGUUUCUGCAUAAUAGAGAUUCAGUGGUAAAAAUGUGACAAUUAUACUAUUCUUGUGCUAGCAUAAGCCCUUGUGAAGAGUGAUACUGUUUGUCUGGGCCAUAGUUGCCCAGCCAUCUAGGAUCAUUUUGAGUUGUGUGAAUGUAUUAACUCUUAGCUCCUCGUGUGCUUCAUGGAACUUUGGUUUAAUAUUCGGUUGCCUUUCUGCUGUAACUGCUUGUUCUGCUUCCAUUCCUGAGCUUUCUCCAUAUGUGUGGUAGAGGCAGGGAGGAGAGAAGAGGACUAGUGACUUUGGUAGCCCUGUUGUUUGGCUCAGUUUACCACCCACUCUGCUUUGGGGAUUGCCUCCCAGAUGGUAGGCCUUGCGGUGGUGUAGCAGCACGACAUGGUUUGUAGGGACAAGAAGAUACAGACCGUUCUGGGCUGCAUCACCACCUCAGGGAUUAACACAGGAAAGAUGAUCCUCUGGAUAUCAAAACUAGUAAAAAUUCCAUGUCUGCAUCCCUUAGCUUGCAUGAUCAGUUAUUUUUAGGUAGAUUUUCAUUACUGUUUUCUUAUGUUUCAUGUUCUUCCCAAAUGUAAAACAAUGCAUGCCAAAAAGAGUGUCCAAAGUUUAGCUUUUUUACUUAGUGUUUGGUUUUCAUGGUGUGUGGAAUAAAGCUUGGGGGCAUUCCUGCAUACACUGAAUUCUCACUCCCCAAGCCCAGAAUGUUGGGCAGCUGGACCAACAGUGUCCAGGUUGUUGGGUCAAAGGGGUGUCUGGGCCUGGUAGAAGUCAUUGCUCCCAUGAAAUCCUAAAGAGUGUGUUACACAAGAAACAAGUACUCUGAGGACUGCACACUUAGGACACCAACAGUAACCAUGUUUUUCUUGGAAGCCAGUUCCUUUGAAUUCAGUUCAGUGGAUCUUACGCCCAAGCUAAAAAAUGGAUCUUCAGUGGAUCUUACGCCCAAGCUAAAAAAACUGCACAGACAGUCUCUCUGCGGUUUCCUCUGAAAUUGAUCAGGAGCUCCUGAACCGUGUGGAGCAAGAGAAUUGCAGCAAUGGCUGAGCAGGAAAACAGGCUGCCUGUUGAAUCUCUUGCAGGGCUCCCUGUUCAGAAGGGGCAAAGUUUGUCAUGGGGUCCUCCAGGAGGGAAGCACCCGUCUGCCUCGCUCUAGCAGCACGUAAAUACUGGAGUAUAGGACUGCCUCCAUCGCCCUCCAGUAUUGCUGUGCUGCUUGAAUCUGGCCUGACGCUGGCACGCUCCCGUGGAGGCAUCAGCAGACCCCACGCAGGGCCUGAAGAAGCUGUUAGUUGGUCAAAGGACAGCCUCCGUGGGAUCAAUUGCAAGCGAACGCUGCAGAACGUGUGCUCAUGCGCAUGACCGAAACACAGCCCAGAGGCUCAGUUGGAAAGCGUUUCCUCCCCGGUGUGGUGACUGGGCAGCAUGGGCUGUGCAUGUUCGCUGGCAGUAUCUUUGAAAAAAUAAAUAAUAUUUGCAUUGCAAA